AGGUUCAAGAAAAUUCUAGAGUUUUCUAGAAAAAUGUAGAAUUUUCUAGAACGUUCUGGAGAACUCUAGAGUAGUGAGAACU
rnacentral:pre_miRNA from 1 species